rnacentral:rRNA from 1 species
AACGAACGCUGGCGGCGUGCCUAACACAUGCAAGUCGCGCGAGAAAAGGGAGCAAUCCCCUAGUAAAGCGGCGAACGGGUGAGUAACACGUAGGUAACCUUCCUCGAGACCGGGACAACCUGUCGAAAGACGGGCUAAUACUGGAUAAGACCACGACUCUUUCGGGAGCAGUGGUAAAAGAUGGCCACUUCAUGAAAGCUAUCACUCAAAGAUGGGCCUGCGUACCAUUAGCUAGUUGGUAGGGUAACGGCCUACCAAGGCUACGAUGGUUAGCUGAUCUGAGAGGAUGAUCAGCAAAACGGGAACUGAAACACGGUCCAGACCCCUAAGGGAGGCAGGAGGGGGGAAUAUUGCGCAAUGGGGGAAACCCUGACGCAGCAACGCCGCGGGAGUGACGAAGGCCUUCGGGUCGUAAAGCUCUGUCGGAGGGGAAGAAACUAUUUAUGGCUAAUAUCCAUAGAUAUUGACGGUACCCUCAAAGGAAGCACCGGCUAACCACGUGCCAGCAGCCGCCGUAA